rnacentral:snRNA from 1 species
UGCUUUGUGCAGUGGUAGUAUCAUAGCCAAUGAGUUUAAUCCUAGGUGUGAUUAUUGCUAAUUGAAAACUUUUCCUUUAAG